UACGGAGGGUGCGAGCGUUGUCCGGAAUCACUGGGCGUAAAGGGCGCGUAGGCGGCGCGGGGAGUCAACGGUGAAAGCUUGGGGCUCAACCCCGAGUCGGCCGUCGAUACUCCCGUGCUUGAGCACUGUAGAGGCAGGUGGAAUUCCGGGUGUAGCGGUGGAAUGCGUAGAGAUCCGGAAGAACACCGGUAGCGAAGGCGGUUGGCUGGGCCACAACUGACACUGAUGCGCGACAGCGUGGGGAGCAAACAGG
rnacentral:rRNA from 1 species